UUUGUGUUCUAUUCAGGCCCUCAACGGACUGGAUGUUGCCCACUUGCAUUGUGGAAAGAAUCCUGACUGGUAGAUCGUCUGUGGUGACCAAAACGACUCUUAGAAAAACACUCACAAUAAAUAUGCCUGUGGAAAAGAAAUGACAAUUCAGGAGUUUGCAGUGUUUCAGAUGCUGGAGAUCCUAAGGGAAGGCAAAGAGUCACGUGCAAGCUUGACCUGGUGGAAUUUGUCAGAACCUCACUGGAGUAGUCAGAACAAUGCCUCCCCCAAAGACAUCCAUCUUCUAAUCCCUGGGACCCGUGAUUAUGUCAUGUUACAUGGCAAAGGGGAAUUAAGGUUGCAAAUGGAAUUAAGAUUACUAACCAGCUGACCUUAACAUAGAGAGACUAUCCUGGAUUAUCUAGGUGGGCCCAAUAUGAUCAUGAGGGUCCUUAAAAAUGGAAGAGAAGCAAGUGCGGAGGUUGGAGUGCUGUGAUGAGAGAGACUCGGCCUGCCACUGUGGCUUUGAAGAUUCAGGAAGGAGGCCCUGAGCCAAGAAGCUGGAAAAGAUCUGUGCUUGGGGGUGAAGUAGAAGAGAAGAUAAAACUGAUACGCAGUGUAGAGGAAAG
rnacentral:lncRNA from 1 species